rnacentral:rRNA from 1 species
AUUGAACGCUGGCGGCAGGCCUAACACAUGCAAGUCGAGCGGAUGAAGGGAGCUUGCUCCUGGAUUCAGCGGCGGGCGGGUGAGUAAUGCCUAGGAAUCUGCCUGGUAGUGGGGGAUAACGUCCGGAAACGGGCGCUAAUACCGCAUACGUCCUGAGGGAGAAAGUGGGGGAUCUUCGGACCUCACGCUAUCAGAUGAGCCUAGGUCGGAUUAGCUAGUUGGUGGGGUAAAGGCCUACCAAGGCGACGAUCCGUAACUGGUCUGAGAGGAUGAUCAGUCACACUGGAACUGAGACACGGUCCAGACUCCUACGGGAGGCAGCAGUGGGGAAUAUUGGACAAUGGGCGAAAGCCUGAUCCAGCCAUGCCGCGUGUGUGAAGAAGGUCUUCGGAUUGUAAAGCACGUUAAGUUGGGAGGAAGGGCAGUAAGUUAAUACCUUGCUGUUUUGACGUUACCAACAGAAUAAGCACCGGCUAACUUCGUG